GACGAACGCUGGCGGCAUGCCUAAUACAUGCAAGUCGAGCGAACAGAUGAAGUGCUUGCACUUCUGACGUUAGCGGCGAACGGGUGAGUAACACGUAAGGAAUCUACCUAUAAGCGGGGGAUAACAUUCGGAAACGGGUGCUAAUACCGCAUAAUAUCUUCUUCCGCAUGGAAGGAGAUUGAAAGACGGCUCUGCUGUCACUUAUAGAUGACCUUGCGGUGCAUUAGUUAGUUGGUGGGGUAACGGCCUACCAAGACGAUGAUGCAUAGCCGACCUGAGAGGGUGAUCGGCCACAUUGGGACUGAGACACGGCCCAAACUCCUACGGGAGGCAGCAGUAGGGAAUCUUCCGCAAUGGGCGAAAGCCUGACGGAGCAAUGCCGCGUGAGUGAAGAAGGCCUUCGGGUCGUAAAACUCUGUUAUAAGAGAAGAUCAAAUUGUAGAGCAACUGCUACAGUCUUGACGGUAUCUUAUCAGAAAGCCACGGCUAACUACGUGCCAGCCGCCGCCGUAA
rnacentral:rRNA from 1 species